UACGUAGGGGGCUAGCGUUGUCCGGAAUCAUUGGGCGUAAAGCGCGCGUAGGCGGCCCGGUAAGUCCGCUCUGAAAGUCCAGGGCUCAACCCUGGAAAGCGGGUGGAUACUGCCGGGCUAGAAUCCGGAAGAGGCGAGUGGAACUCCUGGUGUAGCGGUGGAAUGCGCAGAUAUCAGGAAGAACACCAACGGCGAAGGCAGCUCGCUAGGACGGUACUGACGCUGAGACGCGAAAGCGUGGGGAGCGAACAGG
rnacentral:rRNA from 1 species